rnacentral:rRNA from 1 species
GGUGAACGCUAGCGGCAGGCUUAAUACAUGCAAGUCGAGGGGCAGCAUGACUGUAGCAAUACAGUUGAUGGCGACCGGCAAACGGGUGCGGAACACGUACAGAACCUUCCUUCGAGCGGGGAAUAGCCCAGAGAAAUUUGGAUUAAUACCCCAUAAUACAACGGAGUGGCAUCACUUUGUUGUUAAAGAUUUAUCACUUGAAGAUGGCUGUGCGGCUGAUUAGGUAGUUGGCGGGGUAACGGCCCACCAAACCUGCGAUCAGUAACUGGUGUGGGAGCACGAACAGGCACACGGGCAAGGAGAUACGGGUCCGACUCCUACGGGAGGCAGCAGUAAGGAAUAUUGGUCAAUGGACGAAAUUCUGAACCAGCCAUGCCGCGUGGAGGAUGAAGGUCCUCUGGAUUGUAAACUUCUUUUAUAUGGGACGAAAAAAGGGUUUUCUAACUCGUCUGAUGGUACCAUAUGAAUAAGCACCGGCUAACUCCGUGCCAGCCGCCGCCGUAAUAC